GUGAACGCUGGCGGUAGGCCUAACACAUGCAAGUCGAACGGCAGCACAGUAAGAGCUUGCUCUUACGGGUGGCGAGUGGCGGACGGGUGAGGAAUACAUCGGAAUCUACUUUUUCGUGGGGGAUAACGUAGGGAAACUUACGCUAAUACCGCAUACGACCUACGGGUGAAAGCAGGGGAUCUUCGGACCUUGCGCGAUUGAAUGAGCCGAUGUCGGAUUAGCUAGUUGGCGGGGUAAAGGCCCACCAAGGCGACGAUCCGUAGCUGGUCUGAGAGGAUGAUCAGCCACACUGGAACUAAGACACGGUCCAGACUCCUACGGGAGGCAGCAGUGGGGAAUAUUGGACAAUGGGCGCAAGCCUGAUCCAGCCAUACCGCGUGGGUGAAGAAGGCCUUCGGGUUGUAAAGCCCUUUUGUCGGGAAAGAAAAGCAGCAGGUUAAUACCCCGCUGUUCUGACGGUACCCAAAGAAUAAGCACCGGCUAACUUCGUG
rnacentral:rRNA from 1 species